UUAUUCAUCAUGUUCUGCUGUGCCUGUGCAAAGCUAAAUGUGUCUCACCAUGGAAACAGCCUUCUGUCUCCGCCGGAGGGUGUUUCAGCGGCCACGAUGACUCCGACCUCGUUCCUCGGUACCAGGCUGUCCCGAUCUGCUCCACAUUGUCGUACGUGCGAUGGAGCGGGCCAGCCUCACAGUUUGUCGCUGGUUUCAUGACUCAACUUGCUAAUUGGUUCGGUUUGUUGACAGACUCGACAGAUGUGGAUAUAGAAGAAAUAAUGCAGUGGGAGGACAACGUGGCUCUCGGCGCACGGACUUGGGAGAACGUGCUGAUGUUGAACUGCUGGGCCGAUGGAAGCAGUGGGGACCUUCUCCGAGAUGAUUUGACUCCCUGUCAGACUUCUCUGAUUGGGAAGCGCAGUCAUUGUGCGGCCGUUUAGACCGUAACCCUCGUCCAUGCUGGAUAACGAGUUCAACAUUUUUG
ensembl:lncRNA